rnacentral:rRNA from 1 species
UACGUAGGUGGCGAGCGUUGUCCGGAAUCACUGGGCGUAAAGGGCGCGUAGGCGGUUUGACAAGUCACAUGUGAAAUACCAGGGCUCAACUCUGGGGGGUCAUGUGAAACUGUCUGACUUGAGUGCAGUAGAGGAAAGCGGAAUUCCUGGUGUAGCGGUAAAAUGCGUAGAGAUCAGGAGGAACACCGGUGGCGAAGGCGGCUUUCUGGGCUGUAACUGACGCUGAGGCGCGAAAGCGUGGGGAGCAAACAGG